rnacentral:rRNA from 1 species
AACGAACGCUGGCGGCAUGCCUAACACAUGCAAGUCGAACGAGACCUUCGGGCCUAGUGGCGCACGGGUGCGUAACGCGUGGGAACCUGCCUUUAGGUUCGGAAUAACUCAGAGAAAUUUGAGCUCAUACCGGAUGAUGUCUUCGGACCAAAGAUUUAUCGCUUUGAGAUGGGCCCGCGUUGGAUUGGCUAGUUGGUGGGGUAAAGGCCUGCCAAGGCGAUGAUCCAUAGCUGGUCUGAUACGAGGAUCAGCCAGACUGGGACUGAGACACGGCCCAGACUCGUACGGGAGGGAGCAGUGGGGAAUAUUGGGCAAUGGGCGAAAGCCUGAUCCAGCAGUGCCGGGUGAGAGAUGAAGGCCUUAGGGUUGUAAAGCUCUUUUACCCGAGAUGAUAAUGACAGUAACGGGAGAAGAAGCUCCGGCUAACUCCGUG